rnacentral:rRNA from 1 species
GUUCUCUUUGAGGCCGGUCAUCGGAAUGGGUACAAUUUAAACCCUUUAACGAGUAUCAAGCAGAGGGCAAGUCUGGUGCCAGCAGCCGCGGUAAUUCCAGCUCUGCUAAUACAUAGAAUUAUUGCUGCGGUUAAAAAGCUCGUAGUUGGAUUCGUAUCGGUACCCUGGAACCCUCCGGGUGUUUCUGGGUGUUGUCGAUUUAUCGUAAUGUUCGGUUUUGAGUCCUUAACAGGAUUCUUAACAGGCAUUGCAAGUUUACUUUGAACAAAUCAGAGUGCUUCAAACAGGCGUUUUCGCUUGAAUGAUCGUGCAUGGAAUAAUAGAAAACGAUUUCGGUUCAGUUUUAUUGGUUUUACGGACUGAGAUAAUGGUUAACAGAGACAAACGGGGGCAUUUGUAUGGCCCCGUGAGAGGUGAAAUUCUUGGACCGUGGCCAGACAAACUACAGCGAAAGCAUUUGCCAAGAAUGUCUUCAUUAAUCAAGAACGAAAGUCAGAGGUUCGAAGGCGAUCAGAUACCGCCCUAGUUCUGACCGUAAACGAUGCCAACUAGCGAUCCGCCGAUGGAAAUUAUAUUGCCUUGGUGGGGAGCUUCCCGGAAACGAAAGUCUUCCGGUUCCGGGGGAAGUAUGGUUGCAAAGCUGAAACUUAAAGGAAUUGACGGAAGGGCACCACCAGGAGUGGAGCCUGCGGCUUAAUUUGACUCAACACGGGGAAACUCACCCGGCCCGGACACUGUGAGGAUUGACAGAUUGAUAGCUUUUUCAUGAUUCAGUGGAUGGUGGUGCAUGGCCGUUCUUAGUUCGUGGAGUGAUUUGUCUGGUUUAUUCCGAUAACGAGCGAGACUCUAACCUACUAAAUAGCUGGUACAUACUCUUAGUGUAUACAGCUUCUUAGAGGGAUUUGCGGUGUUCAGCCGAAAGAAAUUGAGCAAUAACAGGUCUGUGAUGCCCUUAGAUGUCCGGGGCUGCACGCGCGCUACACUGGCAAAAUCAACGUGCUUGUCCUACCCCGAAAGGGGCGGGUAAACCAUUGAAAAUUUGCCGUGAUUGGGAUCGGAAAUUGCAAUUAUUUUCCGUGAACGAGGAAUUCCAAGUAAGUGCGAGUCAUCAGCUCGCGUUGAUUACGUCCCUGCCCUUUGUACACACCGCCCGUCGCUGCCCGGGACUGAGCCAUUUCGAGAAAUUUGGGGACCGUUGAUUUAAUUUUUCUAAAUUACUUUGAUGGAAACCAAUUUAAUCGCAGUGGCUUGAACCGGGCAAAAGUCGUAACAAGGUAGCUGUAGGUGAACCUGCUGCUG